rnacentral:tmRNA from 1 species
UUGCAAAAAUUUUUGGCAGGUCUAUAAUAAUAAUCGUCGGGUAACCGACUAUGGCGAUAAACAUUUUGUGGAAUAAGCUUAACGGACCCGGGGGCAGUACCCGGCGCCUCCACCACUUUUAGUUAUUUUUGGGGGCGAAAUAGGAUCGACGUGUGUAGUAAAGACAUAAUUUUCGCCCGGCAUAGUACCACCGUUAUCGGGCUAAUUUUACAAAUGCUAACGAUAAUGAAGCAUUUGCGGUAGCCGCUUAGGCGAACUACCACGGGGUUCGGGGGGCACCUGGCAACAGAAGCCCCCCAC